ACCUCUUCUGCUCCGUUUCCCUUUCUCGCGUACACGAAAUCUGCGUAUUCUCCUGCACGAUGAUCUUACCACAUGCAGACGGUCAGAGAAUGUGUCGUGUGAGCCAUGCACGUACCACUACCGUCGAGGGACGGCAUAGCUCUGCUCGACGGUGGAACGCCGGUCCAUGUGACGAGUCGUCGACUGCCGAUGCACGCUCGCUCGCCUAGAAAAUUCGUGUGAAUAUAUAAGUACGCCUACGACAGUUCACUCGCCUUUCUUUUUCAGGGCAAGGACGGGCUCCUUUUGUAAAUUGUAGGUGGAUGGCAUCUUGCUCGGGAUGUGAUGGAUUUUGAUCGCGACGGGGUGGACAAGUUUUCUAAGCUCGGACAGUCAGACGUGCUCGAAAAGGACUUGCUACUAAUUUGAUUUGAUUUCAAGACUAGAGAGGAGGGUUUCUUACUGUGUGCAUUGUUGUGGUGCGUGUAGCCUUUUCCUUUCCCUAGAACGAGACGAGGAGAAGAGACUACUAGUAGUACUGCCUCACGUACUGGUGCUACGACAGGGUUACUAUCAUUUUGGUAUUAUUAUACAGCAAUCAUGGAAGCUCUCGGAGACCGAGAAUUAGAAAAGUACGAGAUCGGACGUGGUCCGUACCUGUAUAAUUUUUUAUAUCACGCAUGUUUCCUACGGUACGGUUCCAUGUGCCCAGGUUCUAAAGUAUAUCGUUUGCAGCAUUCAUGCCAUUUAAGUUAAUCACAUCGCUUCUUUGCAAAAAUAAAAAUCAAAAUCAAAUGCGGAGUAAUAUACCAG
rnacentral:lncRNA from 1 species